GUGAUUUUGGGCUUAUUUUCAGUUGAGAAGGUUCGUGGGGAAGACUAUAUUCAACAGCUUAUCUACAAGUCCAAGAUAUCGUUGCCACUGUCGCUUCAGAGUUCCAGUAUCAAAUAUGAAGACCGCUAUUGUCCUACUCCUGGUUUGCCUUACAGUAGCAGCCUUUGCCAAACCCGGUAGAAAGAUACGCAGUCACGGCGAAAGUACCCCCAGCACGCCGUCGCCAACUUCUGCUCCGAGCACGCCGUCACCAACUUCUGCUCCGAGCACGCCGUCACCAACUUCUGGUCCAAGCACGGACACCCCUGACGAUGACGAACAAUAGAAAUCCUUUUCUUCUUUCUAUUUUGUUUCGAAAUCAGAGAAUUUGAAACAAAAAAGCUAUAUUCGCAAUACAAUUAACAAUUAUGAGAAAAGUGAUAACAAGACUAUAAAGACAGAAUAUGUGAGACGUUCUUUCCCAUUUUGAUGUUUUGCAUUACAUUUAUUCUAAAAUCAAAAAGUUGUCGAUUACACUUGUAAUACAAAUCUACUAAAACA